UGGUGGUUUGGGAAGGCUUGGCCUGGUUUUAUGAGUGGUCAGUCAGGCUUGGGAAGGUCUGCCCCACUCUGGUUUGCUGUAAUGACUUUCAGUGGAGGCUGGAUCCAAACCCAAUUCUUUGGCUCCAAUGGAUGGAAUGUCUCUAGGGAGCAGCAUCUGCUUCCACAUGUUGCAGGGCUGAAAGA